AGGCCCCGAGGCGGAUCGGGUAUUGAGUCCAUGGAGCGAGCUGAGAGCUAGAGAACCUGCUAAGGCCAUCAAACCUAUCGAUCGGAAGUCAGUCCAUCAGAUUUGCUCUGGGCCGGUGGUACUGAGUCUAAGCACUGCGGUGAAGGAGUUAGUAGAAAACAGUCUGGAUGCUGGUGCCACCAAUAUUGAUCUAAAGCUUAAGGACUAUGGAGUGGAUCUCAUUGAAGUUUCAGACAAUGGAUGUGGGGUAGAAGAAGAAAACUUUGAAGGCUUAACGAUGUCACCAUUUCUACCUGCCACGCAUCGGCGAAGGUUGGGACUCGACUGGUGUUUGAUCACGAUGGGAAAAUCAUCCAGAAAACCCCCUACCCCCACCCCAGAGGGACCACAGUCAGCGUGAAGCAGUUAUUUUCUACACUACCUGUGCACCAUAAGGAAUUUCAAAGGAAUAUUAAGAAGACGUGCCUGUUUCCCCUUCGCCUUCUGCCGUGAUUGUCAGUUUCCUGAGGCCUCCCCAGCCAUGCUUCCUGUACAGCCUGCAGAACUGCCCCUCCAGACAUGUCCAUCUGCCUGCUGUGUUGACUUUUCCCUUUGGAGUCUUGAGGCAGCUACAAGCUUACUGACCAGAAAUGAACUCAAGCUCUCCCCGAAGCCUGGUCCUCUUCCAGGAUCAGCCAGCCUGGAAGAUGGCACUGUCAUCCACCCUGUUCUCAGGCCUGCCACCCAGGAGUCAACCUUAGCCCCAUCUAAUUGUCAGAGGCAUCUGAACCACAGCAACUCCAUCUUGAGUAGGGGAUGGGUAAAAUGAGGCUGAGACCUGCUGGGCUGCAUUCCCAGACAGCCAAGGCAUUAGCCACAGGAUAAGAUAGGCGGUCGGUACAAGACACAGGUCAUAAAGACCUUGCUGAUAAAACAGUUGGCAGUAAAGAAGCCAGCCAAAACCCACUAAAACCAAGAUGGCAACGAGAGUGACCUCUGGUCGUCCUCACUGCUACCCUCCCACCAGCACCAUGACAGUUUACAAAUGCCAUGGCAAUGUCAGAAAGUUACCCUAUAGGGUCUAAAAAGGGGAGGCAUGAAUAAUCUACCCCUUGUUUAGCAUAUCAUCAAGAAAUAACCAUAAAAAUAGGCAACCAGCAGCCCUCAGGGAUGCUCUGUCUAUGGAGUAGCCAUUCUUUUGUUCCUUUACUCUCUUAAUAAACUUGUUUUCACUUUA
ensembl:lncRNA PMS2P4 PMS1 homolog 2, mismatch repair system component pseudogene 4